ensembl:snRNA U6 U6 spliceosomal RNA
GUGCUUGUUUUGGCAGCAUAUAUACUAAAAUUGGACUGAUACAGAGAUCAGCAUGGCACCUGCACAAGGAUGACACAAAAAUUCAUGAAGUGUUCCAUAGAUAU